UAAGUACUAAGCUGUAUUAAAUUGAAGCAAACAAAGUAUAUAUGGAGUAUUUUAUUAUGUAAACUAAUGAAAAGAGUUUUUGUUUGAAUCAAAGGACAUAAAGAAAAAUAUGGCCAAAAUUCUCAAUUUUUUUUAUGUUGUGUUCCUCUUUCUUUUAUUAGUUCUUGUUUUAACGGACACUUACAGUUAUAAUUGUCUUAUUGACAUCGAUUGUGCACGUAAUAAUUGCACUUUACCUGAAAAGUCGAUUUGCUUGAUGAGUUGGUGUUAUUGCACUUAAUAGGAGAAGAAGAAUUACACAAGAAAAGUAAUUGUCACAAACAACUAUUUAUCUUGUAUAUUUUUUUUAUGGGCUAUUUAUAUUGUAUAUUAUCUCACACAAACAAAAUAAUGAUAUUUUUCUACA